GUUAGUUUCCUGUGUGCGGGUCUCUGGCCUUUGCCUGCAGCUCCAGGAGCCUCAGAGCGCUGCCCUGUGUGGAGUGAGGCGUUUGAACACAGUCUCAAUACACAGCACAGCAAGCAACUGGAUUCCUUCUCUCUCGCUUCUCUGCUUCUUCAGUUUUACAGUGGAAUGAAUGCCUUGUGUUAGGAAACUGUCCUGUGCUCUGUCAACUCACUGAAGCUGGCUCCAGAGAUUUCCUGGUACCAGAAAGCACCAUGCGAGAUUCCAGAGAUGGGAGACAACCCACAGUCCUUCCCAGCUCUGACACCUGUGAACUGCAUCAACCAGCAUGGCAUGACAACCCGGGUGCAGUUGUGACAUGUGUACCUUGGACUAAAUUGGAUUCAUUGGACUUAAGACCUGCUCAACAAGAGGGCAACCAUGCUUGAUAUAGGAAACAAACCUAACUAUUCAGUGCUAGUGAGGUCAUGGUUAUUGGUGGAGAAUUUACAGACACUAAUUUGCUAAACCAGCAUCAUCCCUAACAACAAUCUGUAAACAUUUGUCCUUAUGCCCACAGAUAAGUGUGGUCCUCACUGCUCAUCAAGGCAACUUCUCUUUGCAACAUAUGGAGACCACUACAGAAAAACACAAUCAAUCAAUAUGCAGAGUUGUAGAGCUCAGUCCCAAUGGAUACAUGUAUACAACACUUCCAUAUCUAAGGCUCAGGGGUAAUUUAGUAAGAGGGGAUGGGAAGAUUGUAAGAGGCCGAGCAUCAGGAAGUUUGUUGUGAGGUUGUGUCUCCUAGUGUGGUCAGAAGCUAUGCCCAUAAAGUCUCACUAACAUGACUGCUUAAGAAUGAACAAUGAGGACACCAAUGGCCAGACCAACAUGGGCGGAGAAGAGCCCAUGAGGCCUCAACCCCACAUAAAAAACUACAGGCAACUGAGGGAAGCUGGGAAUGGAGAGAGCACACCAGUCGCUUGUCCAGUACCAAAUAGUCAGCCCUGAAAACAUCCAUACAAGUAACAGGGACUGAAGUAGCUAUAUUUAGAAAUAUACAUGUGUAUAUGUAUGUACAUAUUUGCAUGCAAUAAUAGUUAAUGAAAAAAGAAGCCAUGAAUCGGUGGAGAGCAGGGAUUGAUAUAUUGGAAGGGUUCUGAGGGAGAAAAGGAAAGGAGAAAUGUUAUAUUGUUUACCUUCCCUGGCCAGGGAGGCUAAAUCUCUUCACAAUAUAGGUCUGUGAAAAGAUCUAUAAGGGAUUACCAGGGGACUCCAGACUUAAGAGUGAUGUGAACAAAGCACUUCCCACUUUUAUUCUUUUUUUUUUUAAAGAUUUUUAUUUAUUUAUUAUGUAUACAAUGUUCUGCCCACAUGUAUGUCUGCAGGCCAGAAGAGGGCACCAGAUCUCAUUACAGAUAGUUGUGAGCCACCAUGUGGUUGCUGGGAAUUGAACUCAGGACCUCUGGAAGAACAGCCAGUGCUCUUAACCUCUGAGCCAUCUCUCCAGCCCCACACUUUUAUUCUUAAAGCAAGAGAAAUGUGAGGUGACUUUUACAGUUAACCUAAGCAAAUAGAAGGGCACUGAGGGAAUUCAGCUGGUGGUAUGUCUUAUCAUCUUUGGUCAUAUGAACGGAGCCAAGAGUAUCCCACCCAGGCCUUUUCCUUUUCCGUAGAGGUAAUGUGUACAUGCCAUGCCGUUCCCUCAUGUCCUUGCUUUCAAGUGCAUUCACUUAUGGUUUAUACAUUUUUUUUUCUAGAAAGCUACCUGGGGAAAAGAACAUUCUGCACUCCAUCCAUAUUUUACUAUUAAGUUUACAGAUUUUUUUUUAAACAUAGGCUCCUGAUAUUAUAAUCUCAGAAAGAAUUACA